CAGAGGGUGCGAACGUUGCUCGGAAUUACUGGGCGUAAAGCGCAUGCAGGCGGGUCGGCAAGUCAGAUCGUGAAAUCCCCGGGCUCAACCCGGGAACUGCAUCUGAAACUGCCGGUCUUGAGUACUGGAGAGGGUGGCGGGAUUCCUGGUGUAGAGGUGAAAUUCGUAGAUAUCAGGAGGAACACCGGUGGCGAAGGCGGCCACCUGGACAGUAACUGACGCUGAGAUGCGAAAGCGUGGGGAGCAAACAGGAUUAGAUACCCUGGUAGUCCACGCCGUAAACGAUGGGUGCUAGGUGUCUCGGGUAUUGACCCCUGAGGUGCCGUAGCUAACGCGUUAAGCACCCCGCCUGGGAAGUACGGUCGCAAGACUA
rnacentral:rRNA from 1 species